rnacentral:rRNA from 1 species
UACGUAGGGAGCAAGCGUUGUUCGGAUUUACUGGGCGUAAAGGGCUCGUAGGCGGCCAACUAAGUCAGACGUGAAAUCCCUCGGCUUAACCGGGGGAACUGCAUCUGAUACUGGAUGGCUUGAGUUCGGGAGAGGGAUGCGGAAUUCCAGGUGUAGCGGUGAAAUGCGUAGAUAUCUGGAGGAACACCGGUGGCGAAGGCGGCAUCCUGGACCGACACUGACGCUGAGGAGCGAAAGCCAGGGGAGCAAACGGG